rnacentral:rRNA from 1 species
AGUGAACGCUGGCGGUAGGCCUAACACAUGCAAGUCGAACGGCAGCACAGUAAGAGCUUGCUCUUACGGGUGACGAGUGGCGGACGGGUGAGGAAUACAUCGGAAUCUACUUUUUCGUGGGGGAUAACGUAGGGAAACUUACGCUAAUACCGCAUACGACCUACGGGUGAAAGCAGGGGAUCUUCGGACCUUGCGCGAUUGAAUGAGCCGAUGUCGGAUUAGCUAGUUGGCGGGGUAAAGGCCCACCAAGGCGACGAUCCGUAGCUGGUCUGAGAGGAUGAUCAGCCACACUGGAAGUGAGACACGGUCCAGACUCGUACGGGAGGCAGGAGUGGGGAAUAUUGGAAAAUGGGAGUAGGGCUGAUCGAGCCAUAGCGCGUGGGUGAAGAAGGCCUUGGGGUUGUAAAGCCCUUUUGUUGGGAAAGAAAAGGAGCAGGUUCAUACGCCGCUGUUGUGGCGGUACCGAAAGAAUAAGCAGCGGAUAACUUCG